rnacentral:tRNA from 1 species
GAGACCCUAGUAAAUUAAUUAUAUAGCCCCGUCAGAGCUAAGUAGCAGGCCAGCGCCUGCGGGUCUCA